rnacentral:tRNA from 1 species
GGCAAUUUAGCUCAGUGGUAGAGCAUUUGUCUAACAUGUAUGAUACCCAGGGUUCAAACCCCAGCACUGCAA